UGUUGAUGAUGGUUAAUUUUUUGUGCCAACGUGACUGGGCCACUGAUUGCCCAGAGAUUUGGUUAAAA
ensembl:snoRNA Small nucleolar RNA SNORD66